AAGCAGCAUCUACCGGUGGAUGACAUCUUCCCAAGCUUAGGACACAGCAAGGUUAGCACCGGUCCAUACAGUAUAGUGCCGGAAACAGACUUGUAAGGGAAAGGGACACUGAUUAUAAACCAUCGUCCGAGCUGGAAAAUAUUUCCCCAACCGUACAUAUAUAUCCCUGUGUGUCAAUGCUGACGGGGCGUGCGAUUAUCUCCAGACCUAGGAUCAAGCAAAGUGCCCUCUCUGGUCAGGGCGUCCACAGAUGUGGUACCAAAUAAAAGACUUUGGUAACCACCUGAAGAGGUGCCGAGGAACGUGCCGAUCUGGAACACAAAGUACUAAGUAAGAUUUCUAUCUUUAUGCCUGACUAAACCCAUAGACCCCCUUAGAAGUGAUGUUGUUGUGCAAUCUGUAUUUCUUAUCAGACUUUUGAGACCAGGUUUGUGAAGAAAGCUUGAUAUACUGAAAACAACAAUCAUGGCUUCUUGGAAAGAGAUAUUCCAGUAUGUACCACAUCCUAUGGACCUUGUAAUGUAAGACUAAAAGUAACACACUAAAAGCAUGGGAAAAAAAGACAAUGGAAAUACAGCAAGUUAUACCAUGCGGCUCUGUUGAGGAGUGCUCCGGAUUAUGCCUAGUGCAGGGUGUGACUAGGUGGGCUUCAAAGAACAGCAAAAGAAAAAAAAAAAAAAAUUUGACUGUACAAUAUGGACUAAUAAAAUAGAUAUCUGACAAAAUACAACUAAAACCAUCACCCACUACGGAGUCAUAUCAUUGUCAGGAGUAGUGUUCUGGGAGUGACUGUUGGUGAGAGUAGUGCAUAUAACCCCCCCCCCCCCCCAAAAAAAAA